GUCGACACCCCUCUUGUCGCGAGAACGUUGCUUCCUCUCGUCUCUCUCUCUCUCUCUCUCUCUCUCUCUCUCUCUCUCUCUCUCUCUCUCUCUCUCUCGCUCUCUCGCUCUCUCGCUCUCUCGCUCUCUCGCUCUCUCUCGCUCGCUCUCUUUCUCUCUCUCUCUCUCUCUCUCUCUCUCUCUCUCUCUCUCUCUCUCGCUCUCUCUCUCUCUCGCUCGCUCGCUCUCUUUCUCUCUCCCCGCCCAGAGUUUUCUCUGUCGCGUAGGGUGUUGUGUUAAUUUUGGCGGUCUCAGAUGUCUCAGGUACCUGGGUCGGAGUCCUUUCUGUUGUUAUCUACUGGAUUCCCUUGAUUCAAGGCCUAGGGAGUUCCUGCCCUACACUGGCCCUCGCGAAAAUAUUUGUCUUUGAGGACGUCUGGGGCUGCGACCGCGGAAUAGAAAAAAAUAGUAGGUGAGCUGCUGCCAAAAAGGAGCGACUAGAAAGGUUUUGUACUUGCUUCUGUAGAAGGGGAAUUUCUCUUUUGUGCUAAUGAUGUGGAAAGAAAAAACAAAAAGACUGUAAAAUAGCGAUGCCCUAAACAUAAUGGAGAAAAGCGGGAGAAACCAAGCUUUAGGACUGAAAGGGGUGGUGCCAGUCUCGUUUCCUAGGUUACUGCUUUCACGAACCGAAAGAAUUUCAGAAUGUGGCGAGCUCCAAUUUUUAAACGCACUGCUGCUUUUGCCUCAGCUGGGCUUCCAAACAGAAAGUCCAGAAGCUGCCCUCGAUGAAUCGUAACUAAUGCACUGUUACUGCCAGCGAACACAUUCCGGGUUAGAAAUAAUAGCUCUAACAAAUUGUUUUGCGCGCCUAGUCUCAUAUUAUCUUCUCAACAACGCAAUUUUACAGAUGAAGAAUCCAAGACACAUAGAUGUUUGGGAACUUUCUCUUAUCUGGUUUUAAAUAGGCUUGAAUCCAGAUCAUUGAACUCUAAACACCAGUGCUGUCUGCAUAUAGCAGAUUGUUUAUAUGUUAAGUGUGAAUUUCAGUAGUGCAAAAAAAAAAACAAAACCUGCCUCUUUUUUUUUUUUGCAUAAUUAUUUUGUCCGUGCAUAGAGAAAUAAAAAGGUACUGGCUCUAACCUGUUUAAGGAGAGGAUGGGGUUGCCUUAUUUUUCAGACCUCAGGUUGAAGAACUUCCAUGAGUAUAAAACCUCAAGAAGGAAAAACCUUGGUAUUUUUUAUUCGAAUCAGAGUGAUAUGAUUUUGAGGCAGGAAGACUUGUCAUCUUAAUUAUUCUGUGCUUCCUAUCCUCAAAAAUUAUUUCCCUAAGUCCCGUAGUAGCGUAGAAUUAUUGCAUCUUCAAAGAACAAUGAUUACUCUCUCAGAUGCAGUACAGAAAACCACCACCAAAAUUAUUAAUACUUGGUUCACAUCAGAAGUGAGCUCUGGCUUCAUAAGAUCUAACAAAUCCUCUCCACUCUCAGAUGACAAGCCGACUUUGGCAAAAGGAAGCAAAGCAAAAAUGAGAAAUCAUUAACUAUAAAGAGCCUUUCCAUCUCUGCUUUCCUCAACUCAUAUUGGCCUUGCUCUGCUCAACCAGCAAUCGAAAAUUAUUCUAGGCCGGGCGCGGUGGCUCACCCCUGUAGCCUCAGCUACUCGGGAGGCUGAGGCAGGAGAAUCACUUGAAUCGGUGAGGCAGAGGUUGCAGUGAGCCGAGAUCGUGCCAUUGCACCCCACCUUGGGCAACAGAGUGAGACUCCGUCUGAAGAGAAAAAAAAAUUAUUCUAUAAAGUUAUGUUAACUACUUAAGAUUUACUGUUCCCACGAGUGUUUUCAUUUUUACAUAGGCAAAUCUAAAAGUAUAAAUAUUGUACAAAACACAUACACAUACAUUUCCUCAACAGAUGUUUAAUAGAACUAUUGGGUACCAUUAUUCCAUUUUACAGGUGCAGAGGUAACUUGCCGAAAGUCAUUUAUGUAGUAAAUGGCCGAGAUGACCAAUCCUCUUUCCACUCUUCCCCAGAGGAU
rnacentral:lncRNA from 1 species